CGGGGUGGAUACCCUGUCUCAAAACAACAACAGCAACAGCGACACAGCCUGUCCCAGAAGUUUCUCUACGUUCUCCCUGGAGAACUAAUCAUCCUCUCUGUGUUGAGGGUGAUGCAGAGGAAACAAGGCGUGGGGUGUGAGUUGGACUGGAUAAACUACAAGGCUGUGCAAACAGCGAGCUUCUGUAACGCCACAGCAGGUGUUGUCUUUAUGAGCCUCAUGUUUGCAGGGACUGAGGAAGCCACGCCACCGUUACUAGCUGUGUGACCUUGAAAUGAGGCUUCAGCUUCUGUUUCCUCGUUGGUAAUACUGAGGUUAUCUGAAUAAGGAGUGAAUGGGUGUAAAGCAUCCUAUGCAAACUAAAGCCUUGCUUGUUAUACAUUUGUAAUGAUUCCAUGUAACCGCUGGCUUUCCUUUGCUCUCAGGUGACCGUUGCCUAUUUAAAAUGGAAAUUAUCGAAGAGAUGUGAUCCAUCAAUCACAGAUUUAGUGACAAACAGAAACACUUGACCCCGUACACAGAAGAGAGACUUACUGAAGGCCAGUCGGAAAGUUAUGAAAUGACUGAGAGGGUGAAAGGCUGUGCCUCCAGGAAUAAGACUUAAUCACAGUGCAGAAAUACCUGGUGGAGAUAUGGUGUCUACACAGACAGGACAGGUCACCAGCUCCGUGAAUGGACGUAGGGUUUGGUGGUCAUCGUUAAUAGCUCUAUCUCUGGUACCUCUAGGAAUGGGUAACCCAUGGCCACCAUUGCCAGAGUGGGUUUUGUGGAACCCCUUCUUGAUGUCCUAGUAUCUACUAAAUGGGGAGUCCUGUGUCUGGGUCUUAGCUGCAAGGGAAGCUGGAACAGCCUUUCUCCUGGGUUAGAUGAGCCCAGGAGACACAGAAAUCUCUGAGCUGGGUUAAGUGUGUAAAUUAAGUUAAUGUCUGUGUUUUUGUUUGGGGGAGGUUGAUUUUUAUUUAUUUGUUCAUUUUGGUUUGGGUACAGGGUCUCACUCUGUAGUCCAGGCUGGCUUGGAACUCACUCUGUUGCCUAGACUGUCGUGAAACUCGGAGCCACACUCCUGCCUUGGCCAGGAGUGCUGGCAUUACAGGCGAGACCUUACGCAGUUCUGGGUUUUGUUUUGUUCUGGCACAGGUUCCCGCUGUGUAGCCCGAGCUGUCCUUAAACCCAGCUUGCUCUUGCCUCAGCAUCUCAAGUGCCAACAUCAUAGGUGUGCACCGCCACGUCUAGUCUUGGAUGUCUAGGCUUUUAAAGAACAAAGUUAACCAUCACCCCGAUGUUUCCAGGGAGAAGUAAGGAGAAUGAAGUGCAACAGGAGCACUGUGGCUUACCUAGUUUUCCCAGCAAGAAACCCCUCUGCCACCUGGUUCUUACUCACCUCCAGUGUCAACCUUCUCCGGCAUCUGACGCGUUACUGCUCCCUCCUUCCCAGGAAGAUGUGGAGGUCACAAACAUGGUCGGAGGAGGGGAGCUUCAUUCUGUUCGGAUUGACUCAGACUGCCUUUGUGGCGAAAGCUGCUCUUCAGAGGAGAGUGCACUGUGAUACAGUAAUGCCAAGGUCUCUGAGAUGAGAAGAUGCAGUCUACAAGCUACAGCAGCCCCCGGGCGCUACCACGUGCCGAGCCUGCAUGGAAGCUCGUGCCAAGCCUGCAUGGAAGCUACCACAGACUAAAGACAGGCAGUUGACACAGCGGGCAAGCACCUUCUCUCGAGGCCACAGCCGCCUCCUCCGUCAUGCUGAAACACCAAGAGUCAUCUAUCAGGGUUGCUCCGGGCACCCAGGGAGAGAAUGGCUGUCUGGGUGCCGGGCCCACCCCGCGGCCGAACGCGGGAGAGGGGCUGGCACACCCCAGCUGGUUGGCCAGUUGGAGUCCCACUCGGUGCGCAGUGAGGUGGGAGAGCCAGGAAGAGAAGACUACGACGUGAGACAUGGGUUGGGCGCAGAAGAAGAGAAUCUGUAAAGGGAGGCUUUUCCCUUGAGAGAAGCUUUCCCGCCCGCCUGGUUCCAGAGCCGCAUCAGUCCCAAAUAAACACACAGGAGGCUAUA